rnacentral:rRNA from 1 species
CGAGUUACGAUCUGAUGCAAGGUUAAGCAGGAAAUGUGGAGCCGUAGCGAAAGCGAGUCUGAAUAGGGCGUUGAGUAUUUGGUCGUAGACCCGAAACCAGGUGAUCUACCCAUGGUCAGGUUGAAGUUCAGGUAACACUGAAUGGAGGACCGAACCGACUUACGUUGAAAAGUGAGCGGAUGAACUGUGGGUAGCGGAGAAAUUCCAAUCGAACUUGGAGAUAGCUGGUUCUCUCCGAAAUAGCUUUAGGGCUAGCCUCAAGUGAUGAUUAUUGGAGGUAGAGCACUGUUUGGACGAGGGGCCCCUCUCGGGUUACCGAAUUCAGACAAACUCCGAAUGCCAAUUAAUUUAACUUGGGAGUCAGAACAUGGGUGAUAAGGUCCGUGUUCGAAAGGGAAACAGCCCAGACCACCAGCUAAGGUCCCAAAAUAUAUGUUAAGUGGAAAAGGAUGUGGCGUUGCCCAGACAACUAGGAUGUUGGCUUAGAAGCAGCCAUCAUUUAAAGAGUGCGU